rnacentral:lncRNA from 1 species
UGAGCUCCUGUUUUCCAGAGUGAAAGUUCCUCCCUGGACACUGGGAUCUGCACCAGUUUUGAAUGACUAAAUGUCUUUUUAGAAGACUUUGACUCACUGGGUAACGUGGAGUGGAAAGUGCCCGCAGGAUGUAGGACCUCUCUAACAUCAUCCCAGAAUCAGCCUGUGCUCCCCGGGCUCAUUCCCAAUUGCUGCCUCCCUGACUUGGUCUCAUUGUCCUCAAAUCAGACCUGCAGCUACGGUCCAAAGCAUCUGUAAACUUCAUCCUCAAAUGCACAGGAUCCACUGAGGACCCAACUUGUACUGCUGAGAACUAACCUACCUUCUGAACAAGGAGUCUGAUGUUUCUUUGGGAUCAUUGUUAGAAUGCCAGAUAAAAUAACAUGUAAGAGUUCAUUGUAGAUCACACAGUCUGAUCCGAGGAAGCAAUAAUCCCUUCUUUUAAAUGCAUUUUCUAGUCACAGUGUCCUCUGUCCAGGUGCUGAUCUCCCACUCUAGAAGGAGGAAUCAGCAAUGGCUGAAGGCACAGGUCUCCCAGGUUCACAGUCCCACUGCCGGGCAAUUAAAAAGCCUUGGUACAUCACACUCUGGGGACUGUUGUGGGGUGGGGGGAGGGGGGAGGGAUAGCACUGGGAGAUAUACCUAAUGCUAGAUGACGAGUUAGUGGGUGCAGCGCACCAGCAUGGCACAUGUAUACAUAUGUAACUAACCUGCACAUUGUGCACAUGUACCCUAAAACUUAAAGUAUAAUAAUAAUAAUAAUAAUAAAUAAAAAAGAAUAAAAUAAAAUAAA